rnacentral:tRNA from 1 species
AGCCCCGUAGUGUAGCGGUCAAUCAUGCGGGACUCUGGAUCCUGCGACGGCAGUUCGAAUCUGCCCGGGGCUACCA